GAGGAAGAGUUGAGCCCGGCUAACCGAAGGCGCGGGGCCGGGGUGGGGAGGGGCUGGGGGCUGGGGGCUGGGGCCCGGCGCUGGAGCUGGGGCGCCAGGUGAUCCUGAUGAGCGCAAAAAAGGACACCCGCCAUCCUGUCAGCGUCUCGGCUUUGCACGUUAAAAUCACCUGGGAGGCAUAAAAGCUAGCGCCCGAGUCGUGGCCCUGGGAAUCUGAGGAUAAGAUGCAGGCAAAGUGGGAAACCACUGCUAGAAGGAAGCCAGGUGGCCAAAAUCAGCCAGGGGGCUUCCCUUCCUCCGGCGGAACAGCCAUCUCUGGACCCGAAGUAACUCCGGCCCUCGCCUGAGGCGCUGAGCUUCUAGGGGCACACCUCGCGGAGCCAAAAAGCGACAACUUGAGGGGGCAGGGAGGGACAGAUGAUCUCAACAGGUGGAGAAGAGAAGACGUCAUCUUUGCGGGCACUCAGCCCUCCUCAGCACCCUGUCUUGCCUGCAAGAUGGGUCUUGACCUAGCCAGAUGGUUAAGCUACUGGAUGAUUAAAAAUCCUGUGGGGUUUUAAAUUGGCUGUCUAUGUAUUUACCUGUGCCUAUACCAAGAGAAGCAGGGACCGCAUGCGUUGGAUCCACUUCUUCUAUUCCUUACACUAAGAAGAGUUCAAAAUGCUGGACGUUACAUAUAAAGCAAGCAUACAGUUCUAAAAGGUCAAGAAAAGUAAGCACCUGGCUUUGCUUCAAGUACAGGAACACACCUUCAGCAGCUACACAAUGGCUCGAAGAUACCUUUAACAAGAGACCUACUUCAUCUAAGGGUGGAUAUUAAGUGAGAAAACGUGGUCCCUGGCACAUAGGAGAUGUUAAAAGAUCUCAAGUUCUGGCCGAGAAAGCAGUCUCCUACCCCUGGCAGUGCCACCACCCUUGUAGAGCCUCCUCCCAGAAAAUGAGAAAAACCACUGUGGACAGAGCCGCUGCAAUAUAAACCCCAGACAAUGCAGAAAGGAAGAAAAACACGCAGCUACAAUGUCAUGGCAUCAGUACUUAAAAUUCCUUCUGAGGGGGAAGCGGCGGCGGGGAAGGCGUCCUGGGACAGGACCCCGCUCCUGAGAUCAACAGAAGGGUAUUCCAGGAAGAGGGCACCUCCAUCAGCCCAAGCUCGAGCCUUGUAAACAGGAUGGGUUGGAAGAAAGAUGAACCAUUCAGUCUGGCAGGGAUGGAAAACAAGCAAGUUGUGGCAAAAGCUGAAGCUGGCUGGUGAGCGGGGGCCGGAUGAUGUGUCCCCAGUGGCUGCAGUGUGAAGGUGGGUGGGGGGAUGGCCACACUGGAGGCAAAGCAGCCAUUAAGCAGCUCUGUGUGAAGAGCCUGCAGCAGAGGUGACAGCCGCAGGGAAGAAUCCCAAGCUGGAAGUGACUUUCCCUGCAUUCAGUCACAUACAGCAGACAGGAAGAGAGGGGGAAGACCCCAGGAGCCCGAGGGGGCCGGGGAGGGAAAGGAUCUGGAGCACUCACCGUCUUACCCAAGGCCAUCUCUGAUCACAGCGUGAGUUUAAUAUAGAUCUGUCCUUUUCCACAAUGGGCACUUAGCAAACCUUUGAAAAGUGUUUCAGAAUAUCUCAAAAUUAUCCACUGGAGAGGCAGGCUCUUGGCAUUUAACAAUGGCACUGUUCAAAGCUGCUCUUUCCUUGUCCUUUUCAUGGCUCUUGAGGACCUUUGGGUGGAAUUCUCUCUAAGAGCUGUGAAAAUAUCAAAAUAAAACUGCAGAAAAGGACAAGCAUGGCAGCGAGGUGUCACCUCCCACCUGCACCCAGCAGCUCCCGGCCUUGUGAGCAGAGGAAAACCUGGGCAGAUUUCCCAAGCCAUGGCUACCUUAACCGUUUGUUCUCUGUUAGGGGAAAUGGACAGUCUUGGUCUCGAAAAUCCCACAACCCCCUCGUUUCGGUCAGUAAAGUCAGUAUUCAGGGUUAACACCAGCACCGAGCAUAUUGAAAGAUGUGACCAGAAUUUUCAAGAGAAUAAAAUCAAAGCCAGUCAACUGUAAAGAUCCUUAAAGAUGUGGGAACCUCAACGGAAAGGCUCUGAAUCCAGUUCCGUUUCUGGAAAAGAAGCUAAGAAAUGAUACAUGGGGGAUACAGGCCUGUGUUCACCUGUCCCAUACACUCUGCUUCCCUCCUGUGCAGGGGUGAACGUCUGUGCUCUAAGCCAGCCGCACUGCCCGUACCUUGGGUGCCAUCUCCUCUUGUCUUCUCAGAGACAGAGACAUGGCCCUAGCAGUCAACUCUCUCCCUCGCAUCAUUCAUUUUCCUCUCACUGUUGGGUCACUGCCAGUGUGCAGAAACAUCCACCAACCAGUGGGGUGCCAAGGACGGGAGUGUAGGCAGUCAGCCCUGGGCACAGACAAUAAUGGGAUGCAUUGUUGAGCAUUUGACACAAUUCUAAAACAACUAACAGGCAGUCUGCUUUUGAUUAUCACCACAUGCUGACAUUCUGAGCAAUGUCCACAAUAAAAUACUCUACCUCCCCCUCAAUUUUUCUAUUGUUGGGCAUCCUAAAAAAUCACUGCAAUUACCGUUCAGUUUUAAUAUUGCCUAUGAAAGACUCGAGCCAGCACAUGUUAACUUCUCAGUAUUUAGCAAAUGUUGUAUUUACAUGGGCAUUAAUUUUAAGGACUCCGGUUAGGCAGUUGGGUCCCUGAUACACGUGGGCUCAGAUACACGUACUCCUGUGGGGCAUUCACACUGCUCUACAAUCACUCAAACCUGUUUCAGGCACGGCUUGUGUCUCCAUCCCUCUGGGAGCUACAUAUUCUUGGAUUUAAACCAUAGCUUUAUAACAAACAGUGAUAGUAGAGAUGACGAAAUGUAACAGGUUACUUUAAGUCUCAUUCUGUGUGAUCAUGUGAGUUUUCACUCUUGCCUUUAAAUCUGGAUGAGUAAAAUAGAGCAUGAAUUUCAAGAUCUAUUUUUAUUUGUUAAGCUGCGUUGGGUUACUUUGUAUAUGAAACGCUUGCUGUAUUUGAGUAAUAAAUAAAAAUUGAA